AAUAAAUUUAGUUACACAUUAUUAAAACAGAAAUAAAAUAUAAGUUUGGAAAGAUUUAACCGAGAGAGAAGAGUGCUUCAGUGCUCUGUCUGCCCAGCCUUUGAACCCCUGCCUCUGACCUCUAUAUUUGUUUAUCCCUCCAGUCAGUCCUCCCGUGCUGCUCUCUGUUUUCUGAUCCCGUCAGUCUCUCUCACCCCUCUCUCUCUCUCUCGGUUUAUGCUGGUCUGUCUCUUCUUUAUUUUCUGCUUCUGACCUCUGUCAGUCUCCCCCCUCUGCUCUCUGACCUGCCCUCUUAUUCCCCCAUUUCCUGCGCCUCUCUCCCCGCAUCUACAUCUUUAUUUUCUGCUUUUUCUCGUCCUCUGCCCGUGUGGACCGUGCUUCUCUCUCUUCACAACAUGAAUCAUGAUGAUGUUUCAAACAUCAUCAUGACUUAUCAUUAUUAUUUUUUUUAAUUUAAUUUAAAAUCUGAUCUACACAGACAGUUUUGACGAAUUUAUUACAUAAAAUUUCACUUGUUCUAUUUUUAUUUUCUUUGCAUAACAAAUCCUAUAAACACAAAAAUAACGUAAAUAGCUCAAAAAUAUAAGGAACUAACUAAGAAAAGACGAGUGAAUUCGAAGUAAAAAUAUAUAUAAAUAUGAUCUGAUCAUGUAUAAAGUAUACAAACGAAAUAUAUGACGAUAUAUUGUUUUAGAAACUGCUUCAAAAAGGUGUUUUGAAUGAAGGGGUUCUUAUAGAACCAAUGAUUGAAUCCAAACCAUAAGGUCGUUAGUAGGAUACUACGACGUAAUGGGGCGAUAGCUCAAGCCAUGGAAUCAAGGUCUCAUCAAAGUAUUCGAACACAAUAAAGAGACAUCAUCAAAUGUUUUGGAAACAUUUGAUAAGAAAAUCCCUUUUAAAUAAUAAAAGGGAUUAAUACAUAACCAAGUUAACCUACGAGCAUAAAGCUCUCUCAACAAGAUGUAUAAGAUACACUAGUGAUUGACUUUAGUGCAAGUGGGAGAUUGUUGGAAAUAUGCCCUGAAAGUCAAUCUUUGGAAGAAACCUUUCAGGACAAAUAAAUCGAUGUAUAGAUGAAUCUUAUACAUCAAAAUGGCAAAGAUACUAAUUAGGACUAUCUCAAUAAACGAUAUAUGUC
rnacentral:lncRNA from 1 species